rnacentral:rRNA from 1 species
CUCGGACUGGCUCGAGGCGGUUGGCAACGACCACUUCGAGCCGGAAAGUCCGUCAAACUCGGUCAUUUAGAGGAAGUAAAAGUCGUAACAAGGUUGAUUCUUCGCAGGAACUUGCGGAAGCCUUUGCAGCUGGAAACAGUAAGCUGAGCGACGGUAAAUAAAUCAGCCCCAUGCAAGUCAGCGGACAGCUGGCGACACUUUCGAAUUGACGGGGAGUCCCUAAAGUCCUUCACACCAAGCCAGUCAGGGGAAACCCGCUGGUGGCUCGUGGGAAACCACGAGGUACGGUAACAGAGGAAGGAAUGAACCAAGGUGUCAUGCCUUGGGGAAAUGGGUGAUCCGCAGCGAAGCCCCUGCCGUUUAUCAAUCUACGCCUCCGUAGAUUGAAACAUGGGGAACGUUCACAGACUAAGUGGAAGUGGGUGGAGCCUAUGUAGGCUCUGCUUAAGAUAUAGUCGAGCCUCACUGGAAACACUGAGGAAUGUAACCAAACUGUUCCGUAGGUGAACCUGCGGAAGGAUCAUUA